GAGGGUAUAGCUCAAGUGGUAGAGUGCAUGCUUAGCAUGCAUGAGGUCCUGGGUUCAAUCCCCAUUAUCUCCA
rnacentral:tRNA from 1 species